AGUCGAAGAUACCAGCUGGCUGCAACUGUUUAUUAAAAACACAGCACUGUGCAAACACGAAAGUGGACGUAUACGGUGUGACGCCUGCCCGGUGCCGGAAGGUUAAUUGAUGGGGUCAGCGCAAGCGAAGCUCCUGAUCGAAGCCCCGGUAAACGGCGGCCGUAACUAUAACGGUCCUAAGGUAGCGAAAUUCCUUGUCGGGUAAGUUCCGACCUGCACGAAUGGCGUAAUGAUGGCCAGGCUGUCUCCACCCGGGACUCAGUGAAAUUGAACUCGCUGUGAAGAUGCAGUGUACCCGCGGCAAGACGGAAAGACCCCGUGAACCUUUACUAUAGCUUGACACUGAACACUGGUCCUUGAUGUGCAGGAUAGGUGGGAGGCUUUGAAGUGUGGACGCCAGUCUGCAUGGAGCCAUCCUUGAAAUACCACCCUUUAAUGGCUGGUGUUCUAACGUGGGCCCGUGAACCGGGUUGCGGACAGUGUCUGGUGGGUAGUUUGACUGGGGCGGUCUCCUCCUAAAGAGUAACGGAGGAGCACGAAGGUUGGCUAAUCCUGGUCGGACAUCAGGAGGUUAGUGCAAUGGCAUAAGCCAGCUUGACUGCGAGCGUGACGGCGCGAGCAGGUGCGAAAGCAGGUCAUAGUGAUCCGGUGGUUCUGAAUGGAAGGGCCAUCGCUCAACGGAUAAAAGGUACUCCGGGGAUAACAGGCUGAUACCGCCCAAGAGUUCAUAUCGACGGCGGUGUUUGGCACCUCGAUGUCGGCUCAUCACAUCCUGGGGCUGAAGUAGGUCCCAAGGGUAUGGCUGUUCGCCAUUUAAAGUGGUACGCGAGCUGGGUUUAGAACGUCGUGAGACAGUUCGGUCCCUAUCUGCCGUGGGCGCUGGAAGAUUGAGGGGGGCUGCUCCUAGUACGAGAGGACCGGAGUGGACGCAUCACUGGUGUUCGGGUUGUCAUGCCAAUGGCACUGCCCGGUAGCUACAUGCGGAAGAGAUAAGUGCUGAAAGCAUCUAAGCACGAAACUUGCCCCGAGAUGAAUCUUCCCUGAGCCUUUAAGGCUCCUGAAGGAACGUUGAAGACGACGACGUUGAUAGGCCGGGUGUGUAAGCGCAGCGAUGCGUUGAGCUAACCGGUACUAAUGAACCGUGAGGCUUAACCUUACAACGCCGAAG
rnacentral:rRNA from 1 species